CAUCCUGUCAGGCUUUAUCAACACCUGGUAGGGCAAACUACCUUCCCUGAACCGUAAGGCUCUCCAGAGGGUAGUGCGGUCUGCACAACGCAUCACCGGGGGCAACUACACUUCCCUGAACCGUAAGGCUCUCCAGAGGGUAGUGAGGUCUGCACAACGCAUCACCGGGGGCAACUACACUUCCCUGAACCGUAAGGCUCUCCAGAGGGUAGUGCGGUCUGCACAACGCAUCACCGGGGGCAACUACACUUCCCUGAACCGUAAGGCUCUCCAGAGGGUAGUGCGGUCUGCACAACGCAUCACAGGGGGCAACUACACUUCCCUAAACCGUAAGGCUCUCCAGAGGGUAUUUGAGGUCUGCACAACGCAUCACCGGGGGCAACUACACUUCCCUGAACCGUAAGGCUCUCCAGAGGGUAGUGCGGUCUGCACAACGCAUCACCGGGGGCAACUACACUUCCCUAAACCGUAAGGCUCUCCAGAGGGUAUUGAGGUCUGCACAAUGCAUCACCGGGGGCAACUACACUUCCCUAAACCAUAAGGCUCUCUAGAGGGUAUUGAGGUCUGCACAACGCAUCACCGGGGGCAACUACACUUCCCUAAACCGUAAGGCUCUCCAGAGGGUAUUGAGGUCUGCACAAUGCAUCACCGGGGGCAACUACACUUCCCUAAACCAUAAGGCUCUCUAGAGGGUAGUGCGGUCUGCACAACGCAUCACCGGGGGCAAACUACCUUCCCUCCAGGACACCUACACCACCCGAUGUCACAGGAAGGCCAAAAAUAUCAAAGGACAACAACCACCUGAGCCACUGCCUGUUCACCCCGCUAUCAUCCAGAAGGCGAGGUCAGUACAGGUGCAUCAAAGCUGGGACUGAGAGACUGAAAAACAGCUUCUAUCUCAAGGCCAUCCGACUGUUAAACAGCCAUCACUAAUAUAAAGAGGCUGCUGCCAACAUACAGACUCAAAUCACUGACCACUUUAAUAAAUGGAUGUAAUAAUGUUAUCACUAGUCACUUUAAAUAAUGCCACUUUAAUGUUUACAUAUCUUACAUUACUCAUCUCAUAUGUAUAUACUAUAUUUUAUACCAUCUAUUGCAUCUUUCCUAUGCCGCACAGCCAUCGCGCAUCCAUAUAUUCAUAGAUACAUAUUCUUAUUCCAUCCCCUUACAUUGUGUGUGUGUAUUAGGUAGUCGUUGUGAAUUUGUUAGAUUACUUGUUGGUUAUUACUGCACUGUCGUAACUAGAAGCACAAGCAUUUCGCUACACUCGCAUUGACAUCUGCUAACCAUGUGUAUGUGACAAAUAAAAUGUGAUUUUAUUUAAACCUAUGAAACUACCCAUUCAUAUACAUUAAUAUACAAUAAACCCAUUAAACUACCCAUUCAUAUACACAUUAAUAUACAAUAAACCUAUUAAACUACCCAUUCAUAUACACAUUAAUAUACAAUAAACCCAUUAAACUACCCAUUCAUAUACACAUUAAUAUACAAUAAACCCAUUAAACUACCCAUUCAUAUACACAUUAAUAUACAAUAAACCUAUUAAACUACCCAUUCAUAUACACAUUAAUAUACAAUAAACCUAUUAAACUACCCAUUCAUAUACACAUUAAUAUACAAUAAACCCAUUAAACUACCCAUUCAUAUACACAUUAAUAUACAUAAAACCCAUUAAACUGCCCAUUCAUAUACACGUUAUUAUACACAGCAACACGAAAAGCAAAACAAAAUUAUAAAAAACAGACUCAGUAAAACGGUCCCCCUAACAACCAUCUGAAAGGCCCUAGAAGGUCCCCCUAACAACCGUCUGAAAGGCCCUAGAAGGUCCCCCUAACAACCAUCUGAAAGGCCCUAGAAGGUCCCCCUAACAACCGUCUGAAAGGCCCUAGAGGGUCCCCCUAACAACCAUCUGAAAGGCCCUAGAGGGUCCCCCUAACAACCAUCUGAAAGGCCCUGGAGGGUCCCCCUAACAACCAUCUGAAAGGCACUAGAGGGUCCCCCUAACAACCAUCUGAAAGGCCCUAGAGGGUCCCCCUAACAACCAUCUGAAAGGCCCUAGAAGGUCCCCCUAACAACCGUCUGAAAGGCCCUAGAGGGUCCCCCUAACAACCGUCUGAAAGGCCCUAGAGGGUCCCCCUAACAACCAUCUGAAAGGCCCUAGAAGGUCCCCCUAACAACCAUCUGAAAGGCCCUAGAGGGUCCCCCUAACAACCAUCUGAAAGGCCCUAGAGGGUCCCCCUAACAACCAUCUGAAAGGCCCUAGAAGGUCCCCCUAACAACCAUCUGAAAGGCCCUAGAGGGUCCCCCUAACAACCGUCUGAAAGGCCCUAGAGGGUCCCCCUAAACAACCAUCUGAAAGGCCCUAGAGGGUCCCCCUAACAACCAUCUGAAAGGCCCUAGAAGGUCCCCCUAACAACCGUCUGAAAGGCCCUAGAGGGUCCCCCUAACAACCAUCUGAAAGGCCCUAGAAGGUCCCCCUAACAACCUUCUGAAAGGCCCUAGAAGGUCCCCCUAACAACCGUCUGAAAGGCCCUAGAGGGUCCCCCUAACAACCGUCUGAAAGGCCCUAGAGGGUCCCCCUAACAACCAUCUGAAAGGCCCUAGAGGCACCAAUUCCUACCAUUUUAAAGUGCAUUGUAGAUCAUUCCACACUGAAGUACAAAAAAAAACUAAAAGCAGAUCUACCCAACUCGGGGGAUCUCGAAAGGAUAUCCAGAGAGUUGCCAUCUCUGAGCCCGGGUCCGGUAGCCCGUACAUCUACAGGUUAACAAUGAGGUAAGGUACGGCGGAAAUGCAUGCAAUGGGCCUUUUUUAUAGACAAAAAGAGCACAAUGCAUCUAUGUACGAGACUUCAAGGUGGGCCAGCCUGCGUUCUGAUACAAAAUGCAACGUGUGCUGAACCUAUCGGCCGUAAUAAACCACAUCCAAUGACUUCAAUAGUGGCAACUGCAUUCAGAUAGACAAUAUCCGCCAAGGUCAAUAUACCUGGAAUGAAUGUUGACUAAAUUAUUUGUUUUCUGCUAUUUAAUGAAAGACCAGUUCCUAUAGAAGAAGCCGAUUUAAAAAAAGAAUAGUUUUUAUUUAUUUUGUAAUAUUAUUAAUUUCUUUGAACUAAUUCAUAAACAUACUUUUUUUUGAAAAUAUCGCUUUUCACCCAUCCAGGUAGACAGUUAUGUAUAUAGGCGGGGACACGAUCCGCGAGAGCACCAUCCAAAGUACGUAUACUAUACGUAUGCAUAAAUCAUCAGAUAUUUUUAAAAAAAAAGUGAUUUGGAAAAUGUACAUGUACUUGGUUUUACCUGCAUUAAGUUUCAGUUCAACAAAGGCUUUCUGCAGAACAAUGAAGACAGAUUGAAGCUCUGACAGAGCCUGGUCAGCUGCGAAGGCAACAGCACACACCACAGUGUCAUCUGCGUACAGGUGAACGAUACCAUUUUAAGAUAGUGAGAGAGAGAGAAAAAAACAGACCAAGAAUGGAUCCCUCCGGGAAACCCUUUGUUACGUCCAGAACCUGAUUUGACACCAUCAGUAAAUACACACUGUGUUCUGAGGGGUAUCCUGCGAAGCAAGCUACUCUGGGUUUUCUAAAGCUAACCGGGCUUCAGUUAGCUUGACUUCCCUGCUCAGGCUUCAUCCGUACUACGACGGUGGAUAUUUCUCUUCUGCCUGCCGCUAACUCCAGCAGAAGGAUUCUGAUUUCAUUGGUCCUCAACAUGGCUUGUCGAAUUCUUCAUUGAGACGAUGCUGAAACGUCAAAUCCGUGGGCAAAUCAGUGCCAUGUUCAAAUUUGAGACGAAAAUCAUAAUGAAGGAAAAGUAAUGUUACGGAUUCAGCAG